rnacentral:rRNA from 1 species
GACGAACGCUGGCGGCGUGCUUAACACAUGCAAGUCGAACGGAAAGGCCCCUUUGGGGGUACUCGAGUGGCGAACGGGUGAGUAACACGUGAGUAACCUGCCCUUGACUUCGGGAUAACUUCAGGAAACUGGGGCUAAUACCGGAUAGGAAUCCUUGCUGCAUGGUGGGGGUUGGAAAGCUUCGGCGGUUUUGGAUGGACUCGCGGCUUAUCAGCUUGUUGGUGGGGUAGUGGCUUACCAAGGCUUUGACGGGUAGCCGGCCUGAGAGGGCGACCGGCCACAUUGGGACUGAGAUACGGCCCAGACUCCUACGGGAGGCAGCGGUGGGGAAUAUUGCACAAUGGGCGGAAGCCUGAUGCAGCAACGCCGCGUGCGGGAUGACGGCCUUCGGGUUGUAAACCGCUUUCAGCAGGGGCGAAGCUUGUGGUGACGGUACCUGCAGAAGAAGCACCGGCUAACUACGUG